UACGUAGGGUCCGAGCGUUAUUCGGAAUUACUGGGCGUAAAGCGUGCGCAGGCGGUUUUGUAAGCCAGAUGUGAAAGCCCCGGGCUCAACCUGGGAACUGCAUUUGGGACUGCAAGGCUGGAGUACGGCAGAGGGAGGUGGAAUUCCACGUGUAGCAGUGAAAUGCGUAGAGAUGUGGAGGAACACCGAUGGCGAAGGCAGCCUCCUGGGCUAGUACUGACGCUCAUGCACGAAAGCGUGGGGAGCAAACAGG
rnacentral:rRNA from 1 species